rnacentral:precursor_RNA from 8 species
GGAAUCUAGGAGAGACUGCCAACUGUCCAGAGGGCCAACAGAGUGUUCCCAUGUGAAUAAAUCAAUGUGAAUACAUCUGCUGGUUCCAUUAGACAGUAUGGCACUAACAGCUUCCCUAGU